rnacentral:lncRNA from 1 species
UUCUCUGGUGCAUUUGUAUGGGUUCCCUUGUUAAAGUUACAAAAAAAUAAAUCUAAACUGAAAAUAAAUGAGAGAGCCAGCUCUCUAAAGAGAGUUUUUAGAAUUUGAGAGAGCCGCCUAAAUGUCACCAUCUGAUUGGUCGUGCAUUUUUAACAAAAAAAGAAAGAAAGAAGGAGAGUUAAAUAUUUUUCUUUGCCCGAUAUUUUCGCUCUCUCUCUCGCGAUUUUCUUCAAAUUCUAAUUUCAUCAAGAUUUUGUUAAAAAAACGAGUUAGGGCUAUUACGUUCAUCGUAUAAUGCGUUAAGACUGAUUUGGGUUUGCUAAAGAUGGUUUUAUGGCUGCAAAUGUCUGAUGUUGCUGAGCGCCCACAAGAUGCUCGAUGAAAUGCCAAAGAGAGAGGUUGAUUGCUAAAUUGCAUUUUUUCAGUUCUGAAUGAUUUCUAUUGUUUGUGUUCUGUUAUGUUAAUGUUUGAAUCAUUUCAUCUCUGAAUGAUAAAUGCUUGCUUUGGUUCAUCUCUGUCAUGUUAAUACAAGUGUUGUUCUGUGUAUAGGCUUGAAUCGGAAGCAAAUAGGUCUGUUAAUUCAUUAUGCUCAGCUAAAAGGCCAAAAGGAUGAAAGCUUUGAGAUGCAAGUGUGAAGAUUCAUUGGAGUUUAUGUGUUUAGUUUUUCUAGUGUGUGAGUUUUGAGAGUGUGGAGUAUGUCACGAUUUGAGAGCCAAAUGUACCCCAAACACUUUUACACAUUUUUUCAAAAAUUUAAAUAGCCAAAUGUAUCCCAAACACUUUUACACAUUUUUCAAAAAUUUAAACCUUUGACCAUUGGAGAAUGUUGGUGGUCAUGUGAAAUUAUUUUACAUAGUGUGGUAAUUAUUUUAAUGGCUAUACAUGAGGUCAAAGGAUGAUGGAACAUGAUAUUGAAGGACAAUUCAAAGUUUCUAUAAUACACAUGUACGAAG